UACGAAGGGGGGCUAGCGUUGUUCGGAAUUACUGGGCGUAAAGCGCGCGCAGGCGGUCUUCCAAGUCAGUGGUGAAAGCCCGGAGCUCAACUCCGGAACUGCCAUUGAAACUGUUGGACUUGAGUAUGAGAGAGGUGAGUGGAAUUCCCAGUGUAGAGGUGAAAUUCGUAGAUAUUGGGGAAGAACACCGGUGGCGAAGGCGGCUCACUGGACCACAACUGACGCUGAGGCGCGAAAAGCUAGGGGGAGCAAACAGGG
rnacentral:rRNA from 1 species